AGCGAACGCUGGCGGCAGGCUUAACACAUGCAAGUCGAACGCAUCCUUCGGGGUGAGUGGCAGACGGGUGAGUAACGCGUGGGAACGUGCCCUUCAGUUCGGGAUAACCCAGGGAAACUUGGGCUGAUACCGGAUACGUGCGAGAGCAGAAAGAUUUAUCGCCAAAAGAGCAGCCCGCGUUAGAUUAGGUAGUUGGUGGGGUAAUGGCCUACCAAGCCUGCGAUCUAUAGCUGGUCUGAGAGGAUGAUCAGCCACACUGGGACUGAGACACGGCCCAGACUCCUACGGGAGGCAGCAGUGGGGAAUAUUGGACAAUGGGGAAACCCUGAUCCAGCAAUGCCACGUGAGUGAUGAAGGCCUUCGGGUUGUAAAGCUCUUUUGUCAGGGACGAUGAUGACGGUACCUGACGAAUAAGCUCCGGCUAACUUCGUGCCAGCCGCCGCGGUAA
rnacentral:rRNA from 1 species